GCACUUGCUGCCAACGUCUAUAAAUAUAGGUCAUUUUUUUGGAAGCACUGCAGUGGGCAGUUAACUCUUCAAGAUGCAUCAUCUGUGCAGCUCAAAAACAAAUUUUUGUAGCCUUCAUUCGUUGUUGGGACUGGACAAUCACUUCCAAUGUUGAGAGAAGCAUAACCGCAAAAACAUUUCAAGAAAUAAAAUACACAAAAUUGACACGGACUCAAGUGGAUGCAUACAACCGGAAGUUCGACAGCGCCAUCUGAACAAUAAUGCCAACACAACAAAGUAAAACUAUUUUGGAGCCAUUCAUUCAAAUACGAAAGACGACCCUUGUGAGGAGGUGGAGCAUAAGGAUGUCCCGGUGAUCCUGGAGCUGAUUGACUUGUGAGUUGUCCAGCUGGAGAAGGAACAGAGCUAUCCGGAUAUGAUUCUGGACCAGGUGAACCCUCUCUACUUAAACACUCUGGUGUCAUCAAGCCACUGAUUCCACCGUGAGAUGGUGAUGCUGGUGCACUCCUGUUUACACAAAAAUUUACUUAGAAAACAAAUACAAUCAAACAUGAAACGAAAAUAAAAAAAAAUCAUUCUGUUCAUUACUUUUUUUCUAUAUAUACAUAAAUGUAACGAUAAAAAUAA